ensembl:snRNA U2 U2 spliceosomal RNA
AUCGCUUCUCAACCUUUUGGCUAUGAUCAAGUGUAAUGCCUGUUCUUACCAAUUUAAUAACAUUUCACUAUGUGUGUAUGGAUAAACAAAAUUAUUUGAUUUAUAUAAUCAUA